UGACAACCCGUGACAUAAAGCACAAAAGUUUAUUUCUUACUCGUGCUUUAUAUCCAUUGUGAGUAGACUGAGGCUCUACCUGGCAGUGUCCUCACUCUGGGAUAGGCUGACAGAGCAGCCCCCAUUUGGAGCAAGCAGUCACUGAAGCAGAGCUAGCUUGACCACAUAUUAUCCCCUCCACCCAUGCCGUUUCGGAAAUGCAGCAACCCAGAUGUGGCUUCUGGCCCUGGAAAAUCACUGAAGUAUAAAAGACAGCUGAGUGAGGAUGGAAGACAGCUAAGGCGAGGGAGCCUGGGAGGAGCCCUGACUGUUCGUUGAAUCUGGAUGUGACAGCUGACUGUAAUGUUACUCCAAGGGAGUGAAG
rnacentral:lncRNA from 1 species